GGACUGAUAGCUCAAUCGGAUAGAGCAUCCGCCUUCUAAGCGGAGGGUUGGAGGUUCGAGUCCUCCUCAGUCCG
rnacentral:tRNA from 1 species